rnacentral:lncRNA from 1 species
GGAGCUCCACGAAGAGAAUUGGCGUUUGAUCAUCUCGGCACGAGGUAAUUCAGCUUCCUCGAAGAGAUACAAAGCUCAAGCUUUCUGGACAUGACGACUUUCUUCAUUUUAAGAGAAUUAAGGUUGGGUACCUGCAUAUGAGGAUUCUUGGCAACAUCAGCUCCUCAAAUUUGUUAGAUCAUGCCAAGCGAUUUGUAUAAUCUCAAGUCCAGGACAUAAGUAGCAGAACCUGUACAAGGUUUAGGAUGGUAGCGUUGGCAGACAUUCAUUGAUUGUAGGGUUUGAUAUAUACAGAAAGUUUAUGUUGCAUUUCAUGAUGAAUGCUGGGGAGUUCCAGUAUGUGAUGACAAUCAAUUGUUUGAGCUGCGUGCUCUGUCUGGGAUGUUGAUGGACCACAAUUGGACUGAAAUUGGGAAAAGAAGGGAGCUGCUCAGGGAAGCCUUUUCGGCAUUUGAUCCAAACACAGUUGCCAAAUGGGGGAGGAAGAGAUUGAAGAGAUAAACUGCUGUUAUAGGAGUUAGUGGAAAAGUUGUGGACAGUGGUCUGAAUGAUCAUAUCUUCAUAUACUGUUCCAAUCAUGGUGGUCUGGAGUACUGGGUGAGUAGCUUUUCAGUAGCAACUUACACAAAAUGAUUUGUCCUGCUUUGGUUAUUGUGUAGGGGUCAAAUUGGUUGAUUGUUUAUGCCUAUUUGAGUUGAGCUAAUAGUAGCAACUUACACAAAAUGAUUUGCUGCAUUCCUGGUGAAUGAAAGUAGUUUGGGUUUAAGUUUCGAUUUGAAUAGAAAUGAGAGUGAUG